CUCGUCAGGCUCAGUCCCCUCCCGAUAAAGCCCUAAAUAGGAUCCUCCUGGGGGGCGACCCUAGUU
rnacentral:pre_miRNA from 12 species